CGGCGUCGCUGAGGCAACUGUUCGCUGCUGGCCGCGAACCCGUGUCGUGAGACAACUUGCGCCACGCCGCGCCACGCCGCGCUGCGCGGGAGCCCAGAAAGACACAGCGAAUCAGCUGUCAUUUUGAAGACAGUAUCCAGACAUGGCCUUUCCUUGGAUUUGACACAGAAGAAGAAGUAUCUUUACCCAGUGGUAAGCACAACCUGUGAGGACCCUACCAGAUCUUAAAAGUGUUGGCUCUUCAAAUUAUUGAUCAAAGCUUGGAAUAAAUCAGCAGGCAACAAACUGUGAUUCUGUUUGGUACAAUUUUUCUAUCAAAUGGUUUCUUGCAUAUACAACAAUUUAAAAUGGAAUUUUACUUUUAAACAUUAAAAUAACACAGCAUCUUAAAAUUAAUUCAAAAUUUGCAAUCAUAUAAUGAAAUCAGCAUUGUGGCAUAGCUUUGGGGGAUUUUUGUAUUUUUAGCAUUAUGGAUCGUUUGGCAGUCUUGACUUCUCAGAAAAAAAGUUUUCAAAUGUACGAAAUAAAAUAUAGAAACCUCCAAAGAAAAUUCAUUAUAUUAAGGCAUGGUUAGUUAAAAAAAUAUUUUUGGCACUGGGAUUGAACCUAGGGGUUUUUGGAAGCUGAGCACAUUCUCUACCACUAAGCUAUUAACCUCAGUUAAACAUUGUAAGCA
rnacentral:lncRNA from 1 species